rnacentral:lncRNA from 1 species
UAGAGCAAUUCAAGCAACACUAAUCCUUGCACACUUUUAGAUUCUGAAAUGAUCUUUUUUUUCCCUGCUACCAUAUUCCCACUCCUAGUCAAGGGCACAGCAAAUUAUCCUCUAUCUGAGUCAGAAAAGUAAAGCUCACCCUAGAUUCCUGACUUGCCACUAAUAUUCAACGAAUCAGAAAGUCCUCUUUCUUCCAACUUCCGAGUAUCUACAAUUCUAUUCUUUAUCAUUAUUUAGGUCAGAUCUCCCCCAUGUCUAGUCCUACCUAAUUUGCACCACUUUCCUCCUUGCGUGUUGUACUCCAGACUCACUGAAAUACCUUUUAUUUUCUCAGGGUUUGUCUAUGUCCUUUGUACUUUGUCCACAGUGAUCCCUCUGCUAGAAUGACCAACAGUCCCCCAGGCUUUUGAGCAUGGGUCUUCUUUUCCAGAAAUUUUUCGGCAGUUUUUCUCCCUUGUUGGAUUGUGUGUCUAUUCUUUGGGUUCCUUUGGAGUCCCUGCUGUAUUAUAUCAUAUCACUAACCAUAAUAUGAAGUAAUUGCUUAUAUAUGUCUCUGCUUUCUUUGAGAGAUCCUAAUCUCCUUAAGAGAAGUAAUUACCACCACCCCCUGAACAGAAAGUUCUGUGCAGAAACUCUUUCAGACUCCCUAUUCCUCUCAUAGUGCAUGACACAUAUGAGGUACUCAACAACUAUUUAGAGGAGACAAUAAUAUUUUAACCAAUGUUUUCAAACCAGAGGGACCCCAAUAGUGUACUUUCUGAUAACAUGAACUCUGGCCUUAAAAGAGAAAAAUUAGGAAUAGUCAACAUUGAAUUUCAUCUGAUUAUAUUUUAUUGUAAUUUUUAAUGCAUAAGUAUUUAAUAUUCCCCAAAUACACCGUGAAUGGCUCCUCCCAGAUUAAGAAUUCUAUCUAUUAGGGAAGAUGACAUUUGCUAUGGCUUGGAUGUGGUUUGUCCCCAUUAAAACUCAUGUUGAAGUUUAAUGGCCAGUGAAGCAGUGUUGGGGAGUAUGGUCUAAUGGGAGGUGUCUAGCUCACAGAAGCUGAUCCCUCAUGAAUAGGUUAAUGCCUUCCCAUAAAAGUUAGUGAAUUUUCACUCUUAUGAGACUAAAUUAGUUACCAGAGGUCGGGUUGUGAUAAAAAUGAGUUUGGCUUCCUAGACAUUCUCUUAUUUCCCCUCUCACCAUGGGAUCUCUCUGCACAUGCCUGCCUACUCUUCUGCUUCUCUGCCAUGUUUCAACCCAGCACGUGGUUCUCUCCAGAAGCUGGACAGAUGAGAUGCUAUGCUUUUGAACUCCCAGCCUGUAGCUGUGAGCCUGUAGCUCACAAAUUGUGAGCUAAAUAAAUCUCUUUUCUUUGUAAAUUACACAGCUUAAGUAUUCUGUUAUAGCAACACAAAACAGACUAAGAGGGAAAAUUCAUACUGAGGAGUGGGAUGCUGCUAUAAAGAUACUAUAAAGCAGCUUUGGAAUUGGUUAAGGAGUAGUGACUGGAAAAAUUUGGAGCAGACUACAAAAAGCCUGAAUUGCCAUAAAUACAACAUUAAGGGUGAUUGUGGUGAGAGUUCAGAGAAAGACAACAAAG